UACGAAGGGGGCUAGCGUUGCUCGGAAUCACUGGGCGUAAAGGGUGCGUAGGCGGGUCUUUAAGUCAGGGGUGAAAUCCUGGAGCUCAACUCCAGAACUGCCUUUGAUACUGAAGAUCUUGAGUCCGGGAGAGGUGAGCGGAACUGCGAGUGUAGAGGUGAAAUUCGUAGAUAUUCGCAAGAACACCAGUGGCGAAGGCGGCUCACUGGCCCGGUACUGACGCUGAGGCACGAAAGCGUGGGGAGCAAACAGG
rnacentral:rRNA from 1 species